GAGUUUGAUCCUGGCUCAGGAUGAACGCUGACAGAAUGCUUAACACAUGCAAGUCAACUUGAACUUCGGUUUGGGUGGCGGACGGGUGAGUAACGCGUAAAGAACUUGCCUCACAGCUAGGGACAACAUUUGGAAACGAAUGCUAAUACCUGAUAUUAUGAUUUUAGGGCAUCCUAAGAUUAUGAAAGCUAUAUGCGCUGUGAGAGAGCUUUGCGUCCCAUUAGCUAGUUGGAGAGGUAACGGCUCACCAAGGCGAUGAUGGGUAGCCGGCCUGAGAGGGUGAACGGCCACAAGGGGACUGAGACACGGCCCUUACUCCUACGGGAGGCAGCAGUGGGGAAUAUUGGACAAUGGACCAAGAGUCUGAUCCAGCAAUUCUGUGUGCACGAUGAAGUUUUUCGGAAUGUAAAGUGCUUUCAGUUGGGAAGAAAAAAAUGACGGUACCAACAGAAGAAGUGACGGCUAAAUACGUGCCAGCAGCCGCGGUAAUACGUAUGUCACAAGCGUUAUCCGGAUUUAUUGGGCGUAAAGCGCGUCUAGGUGGUUAUGUAAGUCUGAUGUGAAAAUGCAGGGCUCAACUCUGUAUUGCGUUGGAAACUGUGUAACUAGAGUACUGGAGAGGUAAGCGGAACUACAAGUGUAGAGGUGAAAUUCGUAGAUAUUUGUAGGAAUGCCGAUGGGGAAGCCAGCUUACUGGACAGAUACUGACGCUGAAGCGCGAAAGCGUGGGUAGCAAACAGGAUUAGAUACCCUGGUAGUCCACGCCGUAAACGAUGAUUACUAGGUGUUGGGGGUCGAACCUCAGCGCCCAAGCAAACGCGAUAAGUAAUCCGCCUGGGGAGUACGUACGCAAGUAUGAAACUCAAAGGAAUUGACGGGGACCCGCACAAGCGGUGGAGCAUGUGGUUUAA
rnacentral:rRNA from 1 species